UACAGAGGUCCCGAGCGUUGUUCGGAUUCACUGGGCGUAAAGGGUGCGUAGGUGGUUGGGUAAGUUUGAUGUGAAAGCUCAGGGCUUAACCCUGAAAUGGCAUUGAAUACUACUUAACUGGAGGUUUGGAGGGGGGACUGGAAUUCUUGGUGUAGCAGUGAAAUGCGUAGAUAUCGAGAGGAACACCAGUGGCGAAGGCGAGUCCCUGGACAGGUCCUGACGCUGAGGCACGAAAGCUAGGGGAGCGAACAGG
rnacentral:rRNA from 1 species